GCUGAACCCCAGGAUGUUCGCCUGUUUCUGUGUCUUUCUUUUUCGUUCUCCUCGAGAACCUCGGUCAGGUUCAAGCUCGCAGGCUGGUUCCGACAGAAAGAAUCCUUCCUCUCCGAGAAAGUUUAUUGCAACACGUCUGCUGAGUGGCUGGUACCAAAGACCUCUUCCAGGAGUAACUACGGAAGCCUGAGGCACAGGUUGAGACCGAGGCAUCGGCGACUCCUGGGCCAAUCUGACACCUCUCCGACAGCCUUGGAAGUGGUGAGCUCCUGUGCUCUGAGGAAUCAUCCUCCUCUCCUGGGAAAAAGGUAAGAAACACCUC
rnacentral:lncRNA from 1 species